rnacentral:rRNA from 1 species
AAUAUUAAUACCCCUAAACGUAUCAAAGACCAACUUAAACAAACCAUUUUUCCUCCUUAGUAUGGGAGACAGAAAAGGAACUCGGAGCAAUAGAAAAAGUACCGCGAGGGAAAGCUGAAAGAGAAAUGAAAUAACCCAGUAAAGCUUAAAAAAGCAGAGACUCUAGCUCGUACCUUUUGCAUCAUGAUUUAGCCAGUACCGCCCAAGCAAAAAGAACUUUAGUUUGCCCCCCCGAAACUAGGUGAGCUACUCCAAGACAGCCUGUUAUAUAGGGCCAACCCGUCUCUGUUGCAAAAGAGUGGGACGAUCUUUGAGUAGAGGUGACAGACCUACCGAACUUAGUUAUAGCUGGUUACCUGAGAAAUGAAUAAGAGUUCAGCCUUCUAGCUUCUUUCUUGCCGCGCCCCUUAUCUCCCUCCCAAAUUAAGUGGGCACCCCCACCCAUCCCAAGAAGCCCCCAGAGUUAGUCAGAGGAGGUACAGCUCCUUUGAAACAAGACACAACUUUCACAGAUGGUUAAAGAUCACACAACUUAAGGUUAAACGUUCUGGUGGGCCUAUAAGCAGCCACCCCUACAGAAAGCGUUAAAGCUCAAACCCCCCCCCCCCCCCCCCCCCCAACCCCAAAAAUUCCGAUAAUUACAUCUAACACCCCUAACCCUACCAGGUCGCCCCAUGCAGACAUGGGAGAGACCAUGCUAAUAUGAGUAAUAAGGGGGCCUAGGCCCCCUCCCCGCACACGUGUAAAUCGAAAUGGACUUUCCCCCGAACCUUAACGGACCCAAACACAGAGGGAAGUGAACAAUUAACUAAACAACUAGAAAACCGCUCAACAAGACAACCGUUAACCCUACACCGGUGUGCCCCCUGGGAUAGACUAAAAGAAAAAGAAGGAACUCGGCAAACACGAGCCUCGCCUGUUUACCAAAAACACCGCCUCUUGCAAUCAAUGUAUAAGAGGUCCCGCCUGCCCAGUGACUAUAUGUUCAACGGCCGCGGUAUUUUAACCGUGCGAAGGUAGCGCAAUCACUUGUCUUUUAAAUGGAGACCUGUAUGAAUGGCAAGACGAGGGCUUAACUGUCUCCUUUUUUAAGUCAAUGAAGUUGACCCCCCCGUGCAGAGGCGGGGAUGGAACCAUAAGACGAGAAGACCCUGUGGAGCUUAAGACGCCAGGGUAGCCCAUGUUCAGAGCCCCCUUACAAAGGACCGAACUUAGUGGAGCCUUGCCCUAAUGUCUUUGGUUGGGGCGACCGCGGAGUAAAACAUAACCUCCGCGCGGACUGGGAAUAUAUUUCCUACAACUCAGAGCUCCCGCUCUAAUAAACAGAAUUUCUGACCACUGUGAUCCGGCAAAGCCGAUUAACGGAUCGAGUUACCCCAGGGAUAACAGCGCAAUCCCCUUUCAGAGCCCAUAUCAACAAGGGGGCUUACGACCUCGAUGUUGGAUCAGGACAUCCUAACGGUGCAACCGCUGUUAAGGGUUCGUUUGUUCAACGAUUAAAGUCCUACGUGAUCUGAGUUCAGACCGGAGUAAUCCAGGUCAGUUUCUAUCUAUGAAUUGAUUUUUCCCAGUACGAAAGGACCCGAAAAAAGGGGCCCCUGCUUAAGGCACGCCCCACCCUCCCUAAUGAAAACAACUAAAAUAGACAAAAGGGCAUUUUCCUCCCCUCGCCUUAGAAAAAGGCUG